UACGAAGGGGGCUAGCGUUGUUCGGAAUUACUGGGCGUAAAGGGCGCGUAGGCGGUCCUUCAAGUCAGGCGUGAAAGCCCCGGGCCUCAACCUGGGAACCGCGCUUGAGACUGGCGGGCUAGAGUUCGGGAGAGGAUGGUGGAAUUCCCAGUGUAGAGGUGAAAUUCGUAGAUAUUGGGAAGAACACCGAUGGCGAAGGCAGCCAUCUGGACCGACACUGACGCUGAGCGCGAAGCGUGGGGAGCAAACAGG
rnacentral:rRNA from 1 species